ensembl:lncRNA novel transcript
AGCAUCAAGGAGGGAGGCAGGACCAGGCCCCAGGUGGUCAGCCUGCCCAACAUGAGGGUGCAGAAGUGCAGCUGUGCCUCGGAUGGGGCGCUCGUGCCAAGGAGGCUCCAGCCAUAGGCGCCUGGUGUAUCCAUUGAGCCCUCUAACUGAACGUGUGCAUAGAGGUGGUCUUAAUGAGCAAUAAUGGGGAAUGAGAGCAACACAAUGAUCUGAAGAAAGGACCCCCAACCUCUAGGGCGCAAGACUAUAAUAGUUAAAUUUAUAUAGAUGAGGCUUUCAUUUAUGAUAUUUCUAUUUUCUCACACAACUCUCAUUCCAAAAAUAUUAAACAAUCACUCACGG